AUACGGAGGAUGCGAGCGUUAUCCGGAUUUAUUGGGUUUAAAGGGAGCGUAGGUGGGAUAUUAAGUCAGCUGUGAAAGUUUGGGGCUCAACCUUAAAAUUGCAGUUGAUACUGGUUUCCUUGAGUACGGUACAGGUGGGCGGAAUUCGUGGUGUAGCGGUGAAAUGCUUAGAUAUCACGAAGAACUCCGAUCGCGAAGGCAGCUCACCGGGCCGGAACUGACACUGAUGCUCGAAAGUGCGGGUAUCAAACAGGAUUAGAUACCCUGGUAGUCCGCACAGUAAACGAUGAAUACUCGCUGUUUGCGAUACACGGUAAGCGGCCAAGCGAAAGCGUUAAGUAUUCCACCUGGGGAGUACGCCGGCAACGGUGAAACUCAAAGGAAUUGACGGGU
rnacentral:rRNA from 1 species